CUGAAAGCUAAGGGCCAUAUACAGUCCCCAGUUUCCUUUGUUCACUAUCUGACUGUGGCCGCAGAAAACUGAUGGAACAGCUUCCCUCCAUUUUGUUGCCAUUUUUCCUAAAUUAAUGUAUUUGUUGAAAGGGCUGAUCUUCAGCUUCUUCCUGGACUGACAUCUGGAGUUCUGCUUAUACAUCUGGUUAUAGUUCAAUGGAUCUGCCAAGUGUCAACUUGGGAAGGCUUAUACAUGAUCAAAAAAGAGGAGAAACGUUUGCAUGAAAAUUUGACGAUGGGAUCAGUGCUCGAUCUUCCAAAGGAAAAAAGACCCUGCUUUUCCUUCUGUUGCAUUUUUAACACUGGAGAUAGCCUAUACAGCCUUUUCAAUUAGAACAAGGAAGCUCAGCCAAUGACCUUAAGGUUGCAG